GCAUUCCUAUCCCCACUUAUUCUUCAAAAUUCCUUUCUACUUAAACCCUAGCACCACAGGCUCGAUCGGAGAUAGAACACUAGUGCUUCUCGCUUUUCACUUUCUCAACCGAAUUAUUUCCUGCUAUUCGUUUUCUUCUGCCCUAACUCUACUUUGAGUUUGCAUAUGUGCUGCAAUGGACAAUAGUUCUCAGUCCUCUGGUACACAGGUAGCAAUCAUGAUAUGGUUCAACAUUUGGUUUUAUUUUAAGUCAAAAUCUCAACAUGACCCAACUGUGACCUGUUUUUUUAGUGUGUGCAUGCAUGUGCCAUAUACCU
rnacentral:misc_RNA from 1 species